rnacentral:rRNA from 1 species
GGACUACCAUGGCAAUUACGGGUAACGGAGAAUUAGGUUCGAUUCCGGAGAGGGAGCCUGAGAAACGGCUACCACAUCUACGGAAGGCAGCAGGCGCGAAAAUUGCCCAAUCCUGAUUCAGGGAGGCAGUGACAAGAAAUAACAACUCUCAACAUUGUUGAGAAGUGUAAUGAGGAUAAUUUACAAACCUUACCGAAAAGCAAUUGGAGGGCAAGUCUGGUGCCAGCAGCCGCGGUAAUUCCAGCUCCAAAAGCGUAUAUUAAAGUUGUUGCAGUUAAAAAGCUCGUAGUUGAAGUUCUGGCUGUAUUGGGCCUCUGCACUUGAUGCGAAGGAACCAGCAGUCAUCCGCUUGCAAAUACAUGUUCUUCCUUAACCGGUAGACUGUAUAAGUAAGCAAUUUACCUUGAGAAAAACAGAGUGUUCCAGGCAGGUUUGUCCGGAAUGCAUUAGCAUGGAAUAAUAGAAUAUGACUAGAGUCGAUUUGUUGGUUAAAGGCUUUAGUAAUGAUUAAUAGGAACAAUCGGGGGC